CCGCCCGUCACACCAUGGGAUUGAUUGCACCAGAAGCAGGUAGCCUGACCGCAAGGAGGGCGCCUACCACGGUGUGGUCAAUGACUGGGGUG
rnacentral:rRNA from 1 species